rnacentral:rRNA from 1 species
GAGGACGACCAUAAUAACCAGGAAACACCUGAUCCCUUUCCGAACUCAGAAGUUAAGCUGGUUAUGUCUUUGGCUCUAGUUUCAGAAAUGAAGCGAAACCUAGAUGUUGUCUUCA